CAAAAAGUAGCUUAACUAAAGCACUCGACUUACAAUCGAGCGACAUUAUACAUAAUCUUUUUGA
rnacentral:tRNA from 1 species